rnacentral:tmRNA from 1 species
GGGAGUGACUUGGCUUCGACAGGAGCAGAGUUGUCAUGGUUGCAUACCGCUUUGAGCAAAGCGUUAAAAGCUCAAACUUAAAUUUAAACGCAAAUAACGUUAAAUUUGCUCCUGCUUACGCUAAAGUCGCGUAAGUUCAGUUGAGCCUUGCACUUUUGAUACUAUCUAAAAAGCCUGCGAGUAACUCUAGAUAGUGUAGGUCUGCGUUUUGACAAUGCGAGGACUGAAUAUUUGUCUUAGUCUGGCUAGUCGUUUUGGAAGGUGAGCGUAGCUAGAUGAAGCUUUCACUUUUGCUAAGUAUGUAGAGGCUGUGAUUGUUUUGUUUUUGGACAGGGGUUCAAUCCCCCUCACUUCCACCA